CCCGCACAAGCGUGGAGUAUGUGGUUUAAUUCGACGCAACGCGCAGAACCUUACCUAGACUUGACAUCCCGGGGAUUUUCUGGAAACAGAGAAGUGCUUUUAGCAAUAAAGAACCCGGUGACAGGUGCUGCAUGGCUGUCGUCAGCUCGUGUCGUGAGAUGUUGGGUUUAAGUCCCGCAACGAGCGCAACCCUUAUCGUUAGUUGCUACCAUUAAGUUGAGCACUCUAGCGAGACUGCCCGGGUUAACCGGGAGGAAGGUGGGGAUGACGUCAAAUCAUCAUGCCCCUUAUGUCUAGGGCUACACACGUGCUACAAUGGUGAGAACAAAGAGAGGCAAGACCGCGAGGUGGAGCAAAUCUCACAAAACUCAUCCCAGUUCGGAUUGCAGGCUGAAACUCGCCUGCAUGAAGCCGGAGUUGCUAGUAAUCGCGAAUCAGCAUGUCGCGGUGAAUACGUUCCCGGGCCUU
rnacentral:rRNA from 1 species